rnacentral:rRNA from 1 species
GAUGAACGCUGGAGGAGUGCUAAACACAUGCAAGUCGAACGGAAAAGAAAACAAUUGAUUAGGUACACAAGAGACGAACGAAAGAGUAAAACGUAGGAGAUAAGCCAUACACUUCGGGAUAAGCCUGGGAAACUGGGUCUAAUACCGGAUAGGACCACAUUUUGGAUGGUGUGGUGGAAAGUUUUUCGGUGUGGGAUGAGCUCGCGGCCUAUCAGCUUGUUGGUGGGGUAAUGGCCUACCAAGGCGUCGACGGGUAGCCGGCCUGAGAGGGUGUACGGCCACAUUGGGACUGAGAUACGGCCCAGACUCCUACGGGAGGCAGCAGGUGGGAAUAUUGCACAAUGGGCGCAAGCCUGAUGCAGCGACGCCGCGUGGGGUAUGACGGCCUUCGGGUUGUAUACUCCUUUCGCUAGGGACGAAGCGUUUUUGUGACGGUACCUGGAGAAGAAGCACCGGCUAACUACGUG